rnacentral:rRNA from 1 species
AGAGUUUGAUCCUGGCUCAGAACGAACGCUGGCGGCGUGCCUAACACAUGCAAGUCGCACGAGAAAAGGGCUUCGGCCCCGAGUAAAGUGGCGAACGGGUGAGUAACACGUGAAUGAUGUGCCUCCGAGAACGGGAUAACCAUCCGAAAGGGUGGCUAAUACCGUAUGAGACCACGCCUUCGUUGGCGCGGUCAAAGGCCUUCGGGUGCUCGGAGAUCGGCUCGCGUCCCAUUAGUUAGUAGGUGGGGUAAUGGCCUACCUAGACUGAGAUGGGUAGCUGGUCUGAGAGGAUGAUCAGCCACACUGGGACUGAGAUACGGCCCAGACUCCUACGGGAGGCAGCAGUGGGGAAUAUUGCGCAAUGGGGGAAACCCUGACGCAGCAACGCCGCGUGUGUGACGAAGGCCUUCGGGUCGUAAAGCACUGUCAGUAGGGAAGAAAUGCUACCCAUCGGGAUUGACGGUACCUACAAAGGAAGCACCGGCUAACUCCGUGCCAGCAGCCGCGGUAAUACGGAGGGUGCGAGCGUUGUUCGGAAUUAUUGGGCGUAAAGAGUGCGUAGGCGGACUUAUAGGUCGGGUGUGAAAUCCCAGGGCUCAACCCUGGAACUGCAUUGGAAACUGGUAGACUUGAGUCCGAGAGGGGCCUGUGGAAUUCCUGGUGUAGGGGUGAAAUCCGUAGAGAUCAGGAGGAACACCGGUGGCGAAGGCGACUUUCUGGACCAAUACUGACACUGAGGCGCGAAAGUGUGGGGAGCAAACAGGAUUAGAUACCCUGGUAGUCCACCCCGUAAACGAUGUUCACUAGCCGCCGGGUAUUGACCCCUGCGGUGCCGGAGCUAACGCAUUAAGUUGUCCGCCUGGGGAAUACGAUCGCAAGAUUAAAACUCAAAGGAAUUGACGGGGGCCCGCACAAACGGUGGAGCAUGUGGUUUAAUUCGACGCAACGCGAAGAACCUUACCUGGAUUUGACAUCCUGGGAAUCUUUUCGAAAGAUUUGAGUGCCCUUCGGGGAACCCAGUGACAGGUGCUGCAUGGCUGUCGUCAGCUCGUGUCGUGAGAUGUUCGGUUAAGUCCGGCAACGAGCGCAACCCCUAUCUUUAGUUACCAUCAUUUAGUUGGGUACUCUAGAGAUAGACUGCCGAUGCCAAAUCGGAGGAAGGUGGGGACGACGUCAAGUCCGCAUGGCCCUUAUGGGCAGGGCUACACACGUGCUACAAUGGGCGGUACAAAGGGUCGCGAACUCGCGAGAGUGAGCCAAUCCCAUAAAGCCGUCCUCAGUUCGGAUAGCAGUCUGCAACUCGACUGCUUGAAGUCGGAAUCGCUAGUAAUCGUGGAUCAGCAUGCCACGGUGAAUACGUUCCCGGGUCUUGUACACACCGCCCGUCACACCAUGGGAGUCGUUUGCUCCAGAAGUCGGUGACCCAACCUUAGGAGGGAGCCGCCGAAGGAGUGAACGGUGACUGGGGUGAAGUCGUAACAAGGUAGCCGU